rnacentral:miRNA from 1 species
UCCAUAGAAGUUCCUUAGACAGAAUGUGUGGAAGAGAAUAGAAUUAUUAUAAUAUUCUCUUCCACACAUUCUGUCUAAGGAACUUCUAUGGA